CUUUCUUUCGAGUCCAAGCGUUUUAGAAUUUCUUAUGCGUUUUUGUUAUCUUUGGCACAAAAAGGAGCUCAAGUUCGAACAGAGAGUAACGGAUGAAGAAGGUCACAAGUAUUGUUUCAAUCUUCGUCAUCCUGAUACUUUCUUUUCAACACGUUUCUUCGUCACCUUUCUUAUACGCAAGCCAGGUCCAUGUGGAAUCUUCUGGUGGAAGAAAUGUUAAACAAGAACAAGAACAUGCUCAAGAAGUGCGUUGCUCCAGGGAGAGAAGUAGGGCAGCUCGGAAAGUGAUAGAGGAGUAUUUGACACCAUUUGUGGAAAGAGAAAAAUACAAGCUUUCGAGUAAGUGCCAACUUCACCCUGAAAAUGAUAUAUUCGGUGAUCAGGAAGAGCAUAAACUUUUCAUAGAUAGACAUGAAUGGCGGUGUGGAUAUUGUAAGAAAAGCUUUCGGGCAGAAAAAUUUCUCGAUCAGCAUUUUGAUAACAGGCACUACAAUCUUCUGAAUCUAAGUCAUGGUAAGUGCUUGGCUGAUUUAUGUGGAGCGUUGCAUUGUGAUGCUGCUAUGAAUUUCAAGUCCUCUAGAAGCAAGUGCAAUCCGGCAGCUUCUGCAAGAAACCGAUACCUAUGUGAGAGUCUUGCUGACAAUUGUUUUCCUAUUAGUGAGGGUCCAUCAGCAGGCCGCCUUCAUGAAUUGUUUCUGCAUCAAUUUUGUGAUGCUCACACCUGCUCAGGGAAACACAAGCCAUUCUCUAGAGGAGGCAAGGAUCAAAGUAGUUUCUUACGCCUGGCUGCUGGAGCAUUGAUCUUGGUGCUACUUCCUGUGUUCUAUCUUUUUCUUUAUUUGAUACAAAGGUACUGCUUCUAUAUUUUUAAACGUGAUUUAAAAAAUCAAGGUUUUACACCCAUAUUUCGUGAUGCUAUUUCGCAAGUUGUAGUGAUGUGAAGGGUCAAACUCAAGAGCUUCGUCGCAUCUCAAAAGCUGGAUGGAAAACAAAACCAUCAUGAUUGGGCGACUAAGACUAAUUGAGGAUGAAUUAUAAAGAGACUUUUACUUGGCAUGUAGCACAAAUACACAAGUUUUGGAAGCCAUUUAAAUGGCCAACGGGGGCAUUUAAACGUACUCAGUUCAAAAAUGUUAUCUUCAUGUUAAAAUUGAAGAUGAGCUCAUUGGGUUUGUGCAUGUCAAAUUUGAGAAACCAAGGACCAAUCUCGUCAAAUUGCUAAUGGAUAUCAUUUAUUUAUCAUCUCUUCUAUCUCUUUUUUAUUUUUUAUUUUUAUAUUUUUUUAGAUGUAUCACUGAAUUCGUAGGUUGGGGAAAGCGGAAAGCGAUCGCUGAAGAAUUGGUUGUUCUUAUUUUAUCUUAUUCUUCAUUUUUUGGUUGUAAUAUGUAUUCUUUCGUUUCUCGAUAUACUACUUGCUUUCGCUUACCUAGAUUGAAGAAGUGCACUCGCAUCCAACCACUUAAAUUGGGUCAGACGAAUCAUGUUGAUUGCUCAUCCGAGGCAGACUGGUCUGGUUUUUGGAUCAGAAACUUAAUCCUCUCAAUCAAAGUCUCCUCUAGCCCCCCAGUUCUAUUAUGAAAUCCCUUUCUUCUUACCCAGGUAGUUGACUUGCUUAUUGUUAAGAGUAAGGAAAGCAGACAUUGUGGAUCUUCAAUCAUAGGAGGGAGAAAGGACUAGAUUUGGAUACUGUAAGAAGGCACAUGCAGCAACACAAAAAGCAUCAUCCUAUUCAAUUCUCAUGUGAUUUGACUUGUUAUCUUAAUUCUUGUUCUUAUCAUUCAAAUCAGUGGAUUGUUGUGUUCUUAGUGUUAUUCUUGGGCUAGCCACCUCAUAAUUGAAAUCUCUUAAUUGGAAAAUUUGUUAUUGAGUUGAAUAUUAAGGAAUUGACCAUAGCUUUUGAGAUCCUAGAAUAGAACAAAACAAUUAUGAAAUCUCAAAGAAUUCUCG